UCAGCAAGCCCCGGUAAUACAGAGGGCUCGAGCGUUAAUCGGAAUCACUGGGCUUAAAGCGUGCGUAGGCGGAUUUGAAGGCGCUUUGUGAAAUCCCUCGGCUCAACCGAGGAACUGCUUGGCGAACCACAAAUCUUGAGGCUGGUAGAGGUGGUCGGAACAAUAGGUGGAGCGGUGAAAUGCGUAGAUAUCUAUUGGAACACCGAAGGUGAAGACAGGCCACUGGGCCAGUCCUGACGCUGAGGCACGAAAGCGUGGGUAGCAAACGGGAUUAGAUACCCCGGUAGUCCACGCCGUAAACGAUGCGCACUUGGUCGAGGGGGUUGAACGCCUUCUCGGCCGUAGGAAAACUGAUUAGUGCGCCGCCUGGGGAGUACGGUCGCAAGAUUAAAACUCAAAGGAAUUUGACGGG
rnacentral:rRNA from 1 species